rnacentral:lncRNA from 1 species
UCACAAGCUCUGCAAGAGCCCUAAAUAACACCAGCUAAUUUACAACUGGAUCUCCUUCACCCAACUCAGUUUGUUUGGCUCUAGUGCAGAAAGACUGGUUUGGAGGCCCUUUUGUGAGGCUGACAGGAGGAGGUUUAGCUGAGGGAUUUGUCCAACCCUGUGAUUUUUUCAUCUCUGAUUUGCUAUGCAGUCUAAUGACUGUGCAGCUCUGGGUUACCCUGUAAUUUGUCCCUCUGACAAGCCAGCCUGCUGUGUCAAAGCCAGCAGAUGGUGCUCCCAGCCUGGCCUUGGCUGGGCUGCAGCUCAGCCCUCCCGUGGAAGAGCAUCCCUGGAUUGCAGGGGUGCAGGGAAAUGCUGCUCUUCUAGGCAUGGCCACGUCCAGCACAGACAACAGGCUCUGCACAAGAUCCAAGCUUAGAAAUUCUCCUUUCCUCCUCCCUGUUUCUCCAGACCGAGGAUCUUGAGGCUCAGAGCAGGUAAAGUCCAAAGAUGAUUCUGACUGGUUGUGUCACAGCAGUGGUGUGGAGCUGCUGGUGGCUGUGCCCAGAGCUGGAGGUCAGUGCCACGGUGCAGCUGCCACCUGUGUGCUGCAGCACACUCUCCACAGCCAGCCACUGUGGUGGCCGAUGAGACUCACACCAACACCUGGCCUUAGCUCAGGGAUGAGCAGAUGCUCACCAACUCUCAGCAGGAAGGUGGAUGUAAGGCUGUCAGCAGUAUGCACAGAUCUGUAUCCACACUUCACUGAUGUGCCUUUUAACAGGUCCUGGGACAAACCCCAAGGUCAGGGACCAGCAAAUCUGGCUCAGCUCUUUGCCCUACAACAGCAAUGAAAACUGCACUGGGAUUGCAGUACCUUUUUGGACACAGAGUCAAACCUUUCCUCUCCUCAGUUUUGAGAGAUAUGGCAACAUAAUUCAGACUUCAUGCCAUCUGGGUGGCCGAAGGGGAGUCUGUGAUUCAGACACAUUGCGCCUGCAGUUCCCGGUCCGACUCCAGGGUGGCGAUGCUGCCUCAGCUCUUACUCCGGCUAAUAACGCUCACUGUGCACUCUGCGAAGGGAUUUUUUUAUUAGCACCACUGAGUGUUCUGAAAGAUGAUUGCAUAUGGCAGGAGUCAUUCUUACAACCACGGUCUGCCUGGUUUUGCUACAUCUGAAGCCGUGCGUGUAGCUGCUGCAACAUCCCUUACCUGCCCAUGGAUUGUAACCAGGGGAAGAACAGAGUGUCCUAAGAAAUUACACGUGUCUUGUUUCUUUUUAUUAUUUUUUAUUACAGAUGGUGUCAGUCAUUGGUAAGUGGUUAUGCUAAGAGGAGAUAACAUAUCCCACCCAGGACACAGGCGCUUCUAAUUCCAGCUCAGCCUUUGAUCAUGGAUAAAUUAUUCUUCUUUCACAUGCUUCAGUCUCUCUCCCCAUUCAAAUGUCUGUUUAGACUGUAAGCUUUUGGAGACAGUGGGUGUCUCAUAGCGUGCAGAUACAGAAUGUAGUACUGAAACUGUACAGCACCCAGAACAAUGGAGACCUUGAUCUUGAUGGCAGCCUUCACCCAUUAUCUUAAUAGAAGCAUCCAAGUCUAUAUUUGAAACAAUUUAUCUGAACAAUCUUUUGGCCAUAAUGACUCCAGAUCAGACACAUGAUAAAAAGUGACAGAGGAAAUUGUGUAUGUAAAGCCAUUUUAUAUCUUUGAAAUGACUGAAGAUGUAGCUAUUGCAGUCCAAGUGGAGGUUAGUGCCCUCCAAGUGGCAGCGCUGCACCUCAGACACGAAGUAUGUGCCAUUUCCAUUGCCUGCUAGAAGCUUUCUUCUGAGUAGGGAAGAGAAAUUAACUCCAAGUCUUGGAUCCCAAAGGGCAAUUUUGUAGCAAUUGUGGCUCUCUGCAGGAAGCAACUCCUUAGAGG